rnacentral:rRNA from 1 species
UACGUAGGGUGCGAGCGUUGUCCGGAAUUACUGGGCGUAAGGAGCUCGUAGGUGGUUUGUCGCGUUGUUCGUGAAAACUCACAACUCAAUUGUGGGCGUGCGGGCGAUACGGGCAGACUGGAGUACUGCAGGGGAGACUGGAAUUCCUGGUGUAGCGGUGGAAUGCGCAGAUAUCAGGAGGAACACCGGUGGCGAAGGCGGGUCUCUGGGCAGUAACUGACGCUGGAGGAGCGAAAGCGUGGGAGCGAACAGG